UUCACCUUAUUUUUCACGACAACAAGGGCGGCGCCAUUUCGCUCAUUUUGUCAACGUUCUUCCGGCCGCAUAGACGAUGAGCAGCUGAGGCAGUGACUGAAGGCGACGUGUUAAGCUUAAAAAGCUCACUCGAGCGCCUUUAUGUUUCUUUCUUACCAAUUUUAAGCCAACUGAGGAACACCCUUAUCCCAAGUAAUGGUUCGACUACGAUGUUCCGGUAACUUUAAACCACGCCUGGUGUUGAAAAGGUGGCCAGUUUCAGAUGCAUUGAUGUUUAGUGAUGCAGUGGACAACUGUGAGGAUGAUACAAUCAACAUGUUCCUAAACUGUAAUGCAGAAACACAAUGGGAGCAUCUAUCCGUCUCUGACCACAACUACACUUUAAAAUCACAACUCAACCUGAAGCAACCUACAUCUGAUAUGGGAAAACAAUGGUGCGGUUUCCCGGACAGGGCUUAUCCUGGUCCCAGGCUAAAAUGCAUAUUUGAGCUACAAUAAUUUAAAAACACCUUUUACUGACAUACCUCAACAUAUAUUAGUGCCAUUGUUUUGUCACAAGAUGCGCACCAGUCUUGUUUUUUUGUAGGAUUUGUUUGUAAAAACUAAAAUGUCCUAAUAUAAUUAAGGCCUAGUCCUGUAAACCCUGUCCGAGAAACUGCUUCAAUGCUUCUGCUUCAUGUGUUGAGCUGGCACAAAUGUACAUAUCUCUGCUGAGAAACAACCAUCUUUGGUUCAGCUUUACACAGGGUUGAUAUUGCAUCCAUUACACAAGCACUUUACCAGUACAUACACCAACAGCUUCCAGAUAUACGCUUGGGAUCAGCUCCUGAUGACUCCGAUAAAGCUGUGUCUUAAUUUAUUGCAGGGUGGUCUUGCUUUACCGGUUGUAAAGUUACAUUAAACCUUCAUAUGUGAUCAGAUGUCAUGCAGUGAUAUUAAACAUUUACAGUGUGA